CUUUAGCCCCGAUUGAAGCGAUAUCCUUUUUUUCUGGUGUUCAGAAAAAAAGAUAAAGCGUAAAGCGGGAACGGUA
rnacentral:sRNA from 1 species